UGGGGGAUAUUGCACAAUGGGCGAAAGCCUGAUGCAGCGACGCCGCGUGGGGGAUGAAGGCCUUCGGGUUGUAAACUUCUUUUGCUCUGAACAAGGCAUGCCUUUGGGGUGUGUUGAGUGUAGGGGUUGAUUAGCGCCGGCUAACUACGUGCCAGCAGCCGCGGUAAUACGUAGGGCGCGAGCGUUGUCCGGAAUUAUUGGGCGUAAAGGGCUUGUAGGUGGCUGGUUGCGUCUGUCGUGAAAGCUCAUGGCUUAACUGUGGGUUUGCGGUGGGUACGGGCUGGCUUGAGUGCAGUAGGGGAGGCUGGAAUUCCUGGUGUAGCGGUGGAAUGCGCAGAUAUCAGGAGGAAUACCGGUGGCGAAGGCGGGUCUCUGGGCUGUUACUGACGCUGAGGAGCGAAAGCGUGGGGAGUGAACAGG
rnacentral:rRNA from 1 species